GCCAUAGCUCAGUGGAAGAACAUCGGCUUUGCAUCCAGAAGAUCCUGGGUUCAAGUCCUGCUAUCUCCG